rnacentral:rRNA from 1 species
CUAAUGCCACCUAUGUCCGUUCGGGAUGAAAGUCGAAAGACGCCAGGGGAUCGGCCUGCGGCCCAUUAUCUAAUCCUAGUUGGUAAGGUAACGGCUUACCAAGGGUACGAUGGGUAGCUGGUCUGAGAGGAUGAUCAGCCACACUGGGACUGAGACACGGCCCAGACUCCUACGGGAGGCAGCAGUGGGGAAUAUUGCGCAAUGGGCGAAAGCCUGACGCAGCCAUGCCGCGUGAGUGAUGAAGGCCCUCGGGUCGUAAAGCUCUGUCGGGAGGGACGAAGGGUGGCAACACUCUGACGGUACCUCGCAAGAAAGCACCGGCUAACUCCGUG